rnacentral:lncRNA from 1 species
AAUAUGCGCAGUAUAGCAAAGUUAAAUGAAAAGCACAUAACAUAUAAGGCAAUGGAUAAGCUGAAAUUUUCUAGUACACACUAGCAAAACACCUUUUGCAGUUUCUUUCCUCCUACCUCCCUCAACUCAACGAACAAGUAGAGAGCACACUGUUCAGAGAGGUGGUUUAACAAUUCCACUUCCAAAUACAGUAUUUCCCAUCAGUCUUUAAAAGCUAUUUACAAAGUGUUAUUCAACUACUUCUGCUUUUAAAUACAUCAAGCACUUCUAAAUAGCUGAAAAGACUAGAUAUUUCAUAUAACUUUUCCACCAUGUAUACAGCACUGUUAAAUAAAAUUGCAUACAUGUAACAAUGGUUAUAAUCUGAGGUAUCUUCCAAAUAUGAUCAUUUUAGUCUUGAACCAUUCCCUCCUCACUUCCUUCUCUCUGCCUUCAAUUCAGUGGACAUGUACAGGCACAUGUAAUGCUUAGAGAUGGUUGAACAAAUUAGUAUCCAAAAGUCAUUUACAGAAGACAAGCUUUCCUAUGAAUUUCAACACAAAGUGUACAAAAUGAGCUAAUUUUACUGAGUACUUUGUCAUACACUGGCAACCUCUAACAUCUAAGGGACUAGAUGUUGCAAAAUUAUGACUCAUUUGUUUAUUAUAAACUUUAUACACAGCAAAACAAAAUCCACAAAACAUACAGAAAAAUGGUGUCUAAAAAGUCCAAGUAUAAGCACACUAGCAUAUUACCUUUUGCAAUAUCUUCCCUCCCACUUCCACUAAACCAUUAAACAAGUAUAGACACUACUAUACCACUCACAGGGGCGGUUUAACAAUUCCACUUUCUUUUCUUUUCUUUUUUUUUUUUUUAGAUGGAGUUUCGCUCUUGUUGCCCAGGAUGGAGCGCAAUGGCGUGAUCUUGGCUCACUGCAACCUCUGCCUCCCAGGUUCAAGCGAUUCUCCUGCUUCAGCCUCCCAAGAAGCUGGGAAUACAGGCAUGUACCACCACGCCCAGCUGAUUUUGUAUUUUUAGUAGAGACAGAGUUUCACCAUGUUGACCAUGGCUGGUUUCAAACUCCUGACCUCAGGUGAUCCACCCGCCUCGGCCUCCCAAAGUGCUGGGAUUACAGGCGUGAGCCACCGCGCCUGGCAACAAUUCCACUUUCAAAAGACACUAUUUCUUAUGAAUUUUAGCAAAAAGAUAUUUUUAAGUGAUUAUUUUACUCUUACAUUAGAGGUUAAAUGUUACCUGUACAUUUAACAUAUGCUGGGCACUUCUAAACAUCUAGAUAGGCUAGAUGUUUCAGGUAAGGAGUAUAUUUGUUGUCCACUAUAUACAGAGCAGUUUUCUUUUUUCUUUUCUUUUUUUUGGAGGCAGGGUCUUGCUCCAUCACCCAGGCUGGAGUGCAGUGGUGUGAUCUUGGCUCACUGCAACCUCCGCCUCCCUGGUUCAAGUGAUUCUCCUGUCUCAGCCUCCCAAGUAGCUGGGAUUACAGGCAUGCAUCACCACACCCAGCUAAUUUUUGUAUUUUUAGUAGAGAUGGGGUUUCACCAUGUUGGCCAGGCUGGUCUUGAACUCCUGGCCUCAAGCAAUCCACCCACCUCAGCCUCCCAAAGUGCUGGGAUUACAGGUGUGAGCCAUCGUGCUGGUCCUGCAAAGCAGUCUUGAAUAAACUGUACACAUGUAACAAUAGUUAAAAUCUGAAAGAAUCUUCCAAAUAAAAAUAUUCCAGCCUAGAACCCUUCCCAUCUCAGUCAACCCAGUGGCCAGUAAUGCUCAGAUUUUCAGAAGACAAUUUUCCCAAGGAAUUUUAAAACAAUAUGUUCAAGAUAUAUUAGUUUACUAACUCUACUUUUGUCAUAUACUGGAAACCUCUUUAAUGUCUAGAAAGUCUAGAUGUAAAUUAGGACUUGUUUUCCUCUAUAAACACUGUAUACACAGAUAAGGAAAACAAAGUGCACAGACAUGAGAGACAAUAGUUAAUCUUGCCUCACCGUAAGCACACUGGUGGCAUAGAGCUCUCUGCACAGCCUCCUUCUCCUCCUGCCCUGAACCAGUGCAUAAACACAAUGUUUGUUACUGAACUGGUGGUUGGCCAUUCCCCUCUCAAAACAUUUCAUAUGAAUUUUAACCAAAAGAUAUUUACAAAAUGUAAUAUUUUACUAUCUCUAAAUUUAACACGUAUUAGACACUUCAGACCAUCUAGAAAGACUAGACAUUUCCGGGAGCAGUGGCUCAGGCCUGUAAUCCCAGCACUUUGAGAGGCCGAGGUGGGCGGAUCAUUUGAGGUCAGGAGUUCAAAACCAGCCUCGCCAACAUGGUGAAACUCGUUUCUACUAAAAAUACAAAAAUUAGUAGGGCAUGGUGGUGCGCGCCUGUAAUCUCAGCUACUUGGGAGACUGAGGCAGGAGAAUCACUUGUACGUGGGAAGUGAGCCAUGAUCGCGCCACUGCACUCCAGCCUAGGCAACAGAGAGAGACUCCAUCUCAAAAAAAAAAAAAAAAAGACUAGACAUUUCAAAAAGUACUUGGAGUUGUCAACUACAUAUACAGUAGUGAGGAAUAAAAUGCACACGGAAGACAACGAUUAUAAUAUGUAAACGUCUUCUAAAUAUGACCAGUCUGGCAUAGGACCUUCUUCUCGUCCUUCUCAGAUCUUCUCCAUGUCCUAGUCUAACCCACUGAACAAACGUGUAUGUGUCUGCUCCAGAGGUGAUGCAACAUCUCCAUUUCAAAAAGUCAUCUCCAGAAGAUGUUUAUUUUCUACGAUUUUUUUAAACAAAUGGGAAUUUACAAGAUGUGUGAUAUUCUUAGUCUAUCAUACAUCGGCAGCUUCUUUACAUCUGGAGGGGCUAGAUGUGGCAAAUGUUUUCUUGUAAAAGUUUUCGGGGAAGCUGAGAGUAGCUUUCUCACCUUAUACACUCGGGCCUUCUAUAAACGCUGGUACAUCUUCCCAAAGCGUGGUGGGCAUCUCCAAAGCGCCAAAUGUGGCUUGUUACUCCAUUUCUCUCUUCCCACAUCAAGGUCUGGUAGAAGGAAGGCCAACCGCCCCAUGGCCGUUACCGUUCUACUCGUCCUCAUCCGGGACUGCGCUGACCUUCUGGCCGUUAAAGCCGUUAUCCACUGUUAUCAGGACCAGGUAGUCUCGCCCAACUGGGACAGAGCGGUCGCCCGAGGACCGGAUCUGCGCGGCGCAGUGGCCUAAAAAGGAGGCCGAGCCAGUCCCUAGCUCCGCCUUCCCGGGCCCUGCGCCCUAGUGGCCUCUGCGCGGUUCUUCCCGACCCGCAAACACGCCGCCACCCAAAGCCUCUGUGUCCCGGCGGCCACCCGGUCACCGAGGUGUGAGGAGAGGUUCCCCGCUGCUUCAAGUCGGGGCCCGACGGGUUGGAGCCGAGGCCCCGGCUCUGCUGGAGCUCCAGAGCCCGAGUCUUUCUUAAGAGGCAAAGCUUUCUUAAGAGGCAAAGCGCGGGAACUGACGUCGGGGUAGGGCGUGCAGGGCGGCAUACUUAGUUACUCUGGUUAUCUUGAGUUAAUGAGCCACCCUGUCGUCUGGCCGGAGGCAAGAGACUGUAAAUCGAUUGAUUGUUCAACAUUCCUUCCCAAAGUGGGACACUCGGCAACCUUGGUUGUCUCCUAAGGGACUGUGCUUGUUAGCGUGUGGCAUGCCAAUGGAUAAUAAUGAUAAUGAAAACUAUGAUGAUGACAAAAAUGAUAAUGAUGAUAGCAGGUAAUUUACUGUGUGCAUAAUAGGGAAGAAAGAAUUUUUUAUUACUAUUCCUUAUUAAAUUUAUUUCUUUUAAAAUUGUUUCUUACUAUUUCUUAUUAAAACUGGGUUGGCCAGGCACUGUGGCUCACACCUGUAAUCCCAGCACUUUGGGAGGCCGAGGUGUGUGGAUCACUUGAGAUCAGGAGUUCAAGAUCAGCC